AUCAAUUCUCCAAUCUGUGAGGGCACUCUCUACAAAACCGGUUUAUUGUAAUUGAAAUAUCCACAAAGCUCUCUCGACUCUCCGAUCUCAGCGGUGUCUUUCAACAAUCCAACCAAGGGGCCAAGCCCAACACUCCCACUUGCGGCAUAAUUCUUUAUGUGUUUUCCGUGAAAAAAAGUUGUUUGGUUGCCCAGAAACUGUGCGGAGAAAGUUCUCUUCAUUCUCAAGUUAUUCUUUGUUAAUUACAAUUGGCAACUCAAUUGAGUCAUUCGCUGUUCAUUUGCUGUUGCUAGUGAAACAAACCUGCAAGGAUUUAUGAUAUGGAAAAUAAUCCCCUUUGUUUGCUCCCCAUUAUGUGCAAGCUUUUUCUCACUGCUCUGCGCGCGCGUUAGAAGCAUAGGCACUGUACCACCGAAGGUCUGCAGAUCACCAUAGAUGCUUUUAUUUUCAGUUAUUUAAUCCAAUCUUGAUUCUACAAUUUAUUUUGUCAAUUCUUUGGAUUGAAUUUAAACACUUGGUUCUGAUUCAAUAUCAACUAGCUUGAAUUUCUAAA